rnacentral:lncRNA from 1 species
UCUUCCUUCUUAGUUAUCUGGUGUCUAAUACUAACACCACAUAUGGCGGUGUAUGAGACUUCUAGGCUAUGGUCAAUACUCCCUUUCAAAUAUAGAUUGUUAGAUGAUUUUCUUCUAGGCUAUGGUCAAUACUCCCUUUCAAAUAUAGAUUGUUAGAUGAUUUUCUUCUAGGCUAUGGUCAAUACUCCCUUUCAAAUAUAGAUUGUUAGAUGAUUUUCCUCUGUGCCAUUUUGUCAGGAGGCAGAAGAAACGAUUGAACAUGAUCUGCUCUAGUUCUCUCAUUUUAGACUCACUUGGUUUUUCUAUCCAUGCACCUAUAAACCAAAUGAUAUUGGCUCCGCUUUCAUUACCCAAUGGUGGUCGCAAGUUCAAAUAGCUUUUAGAAAUCAAAAAGGCCUUCUUAGUUUGGUGGUUACCAUAUGCUGGUUUAUUUGGAAGCAAAAAAACAAAGGAGUUUUUCAAGGCAUGCUGCCAGAUCCAAUUGAAGCAAUCAAAAGGUCCGCAAAGACACCGUAUUGACAUGGAGCAAGCAAGGAAAGAUUAAAAUUUAAUUGUGAUAGUUGCAAAAAAGGAGGGUCAAUCUAAUGCUAGAAUUGCUAUAGGAUGGCUUAGCUAAGAAUAUCA